rnacentral:rRNA from 1 species
CAGCAGCCGCGGUAAUACGGAGGGUGCAAGCGUUAAUCGGAAUUACUGGGCGUAAAGCGCACGCAGGCGGUCUGUCAAGUCAGAUGUGAAAUCCCCGGGCUUAACCUGGGAACUGCAUUUGAAACUGGCAGGCUAGAGUCUUGUAGAGGGGGGUAGAAUUCCAGGUGUAGCGGUGAAAUGCGUAGAGAUCGGGAGGAACAUCAGUGGCGAAGGCGGCCAUCUGGGACAACACUGACGCUGAGGCACGAAAGCGUGGGGAGCAAACAGGAUUAGAUACCCCUGUAGUCCCUGUCUCUUAUAC